CACCGGCAGCUCUAGUGGUAGCUGUUUUUAUUGGGCCCUAAAGCGUUCGUAGCCGGUUUGAUAAGUCCCUGGUGAAAUCCUGUAGCUUAACUGUGGGAAUUGCUGGAGAUACUAUCAGACUUGAGGUCGGGAGAGGUUAGAGGAACUCCCAGGGUAGGGGUGAAAUCCUAUAAUCCUGGGAGGACCACCUGUGGCGAAGGCGUCUAACUGGAACGAACCUGACGGUGAGUAACGAAAGCCAGGGGCGCGAACCGGAUUAGAUACCCGGGUAGUCCCUGAGCGGGCUGGCAAGG
rnacentral:rRNA from 1 species